UUUAAAUGUUAAUUCUUAUUUUUAUUUAGAUGCUUAACUGCAUCAAAUGAUGUAUUAUAGAGGCAAAUAAAUUUAACAAGUUUAAAAGACAAUAUUUUAGUUUAAGAAAAUAUUUAUCAGAUUCUCACUAUAAUAAUUUAAGGAUUUUGAUAAAAUAAAUGAAAACACUACGAAUUUGAUGAUCUUUUUGGUUGAAAUGAUUAAUGCUCUGUGUGGUAGAUAACUUCUUCCAAGAAAAUUUAUUUGAUUCUAUCCAUACACGAAAUGACACGUAUGUGGUGGAUACAAACACUAAACACUGAAUAUUUCUAUCUUUUUUGGCAUCUAUAUUUCUCUUCUUCUAUAAAUAGUGGCAGUUCCAUAUGUUCAAACCACAGCAAAUAAAAGCAUCAAAAGAAGAAGACAAAAAACAAAUUUCAAGUUUUAAACCAAAGAGAAGUAAGAGAAGCAAUGGCAGGUUCUAACUGUGGAUGUGGUUCCGCUUGCAAAUGUGGUGACUCUUGCAGUUGCGAGAAGAACUACAACACGGAGUGCGAUAACUGCAGCUGUGGAUCAAACUGCAGCUGCGGCGACAGCUGCAGCUGUUGAAGGUGUUGUGGUGUAGAUCAUAUGCAUGCAUGAAAACUGGGGGAAAAGUGUUUAUGAUGUUAAGAGAUAUGUGUGUGUUUGAAUAAAGGUUUGGCAUGAUGUUGCCUUGUUGUCUAAUAGCUCUCUUAACCUUGACUUUUUCUCUGUAUUUGGUGUUUAUUGUGUAAUGUUUCAUUUGUAACGUAAGAAAAAAAAUAUCUAUUGACUUUUGUGAUUAUAAAAAUAUUAAGUUUUGUCUAA